rnacentral:rRNA from 1 species
GAUGAACGCUGGCGGCGUGCCUAAUACAUGCAAGUCGAGCGAACAGACGAGGAGCUUGCUCCUCUGACGUUAGCGGCGGACGGGUGAGUAACACGUGGAUAACCUACCUAUAAGACUGGGAUAACUUCGGGAAACCGGAGCUAAUACCGUAUAACAUGUUGAACCGCAUGGUUCAACAGUGAAAGACGGUCUUGCUGUCACUUAUAGAUGGAUCCGCGCCGCAUUAGCUAGUUGGUAAGGUAACGGCUUACCAAGGCAACGAUGCGUAGCCGACCUGAGAGGGUGAUCGGCCACACUGGAACUGAGACACGGUCCAGACUCCUACGGGAGGCAGCAGUAGGGAAUCUUCCGCAAUGGGCGAAAGCCUGACGGAGCAACGCCGCGUGAGUGAAGAAGGUCUUCGGAUCGUAAAACUCUGUUAUUAGGGAAGAACAAAUGUGUAAGUAACUAUGCACGUCUUGACGGUACCUAAUCAGAAAGCCACGGCUAACUACGUG